rnacentral:rRNA from 1 species
AGCGAACGCUGGCGGCAGGCCUAACACAUGCAAGUCGAACGAACUCUUCGGAGUUAGUGGCGGACGGGUGAGUAACACGUGGGAACGUGCCUUUAGGUUCGGAAUAACUCAGGGAAACUUGUGCUAAUACCGAAUGUGCCCUUCGGGGGAAAGAUUUAUCGCCUUUAGAGCGGCCCGCGUCUGAUUAGCUAGUUGGUGAGGUAAAGGCUCACCAAGGCGACGAUCAGUAGCUGGUCUGAGAGGAUGAUCAGCCACAUUGGGACUGAGACACGGCCCAAACCCCGCGGGGAGGCAGCAGGGGGGAAUCAUGAGCAAUGGGCGAAAGACUGACGUAGCCAUGCCGCGUGAAUGAUGAAGGUGUUAGGAGUGAAAAAUUCUCUCGCCGGGGACGAUAAUGACGGUACCGGGAAAGGAAGCCCCGGCUAACUACGUC